rnacentral:tRNA from 1 species
GUCUCCGUGGCCGAAUGGCGAGGCAGCGGCGCAGCAGUCGCGCGUACACCGGUUCGAUUCCGGUCGCAGACU